UGAAAGUUGGAGAAGAAGGAGUUGCUGAAGAAACGAAACCAAAUCUCAAAAUCUCUUCAAAAUGUUUCAACUAAAAGUCAAAAGCGAACUCCAAUUCGAUCAGAUUACACGAAUUUCUUCAACCAAAUUUCAGCAAAAUCCUAUUUAUUUCUUCAACCAAAUAGAACCAAUUUCUUAAACCAAAUUUCAGUAAAACCCUAAUUUGUUCUUCAGCUUUCUAAUAUGAUGUUUGGGUUUCAACAUGAACAUGUAUAGUUAGAAUUUUAAAACCCUUGUUUCUUCUCUUAGUGGCUCUCUAUCUUCUUCUUUUUUUCUGCAAUUUUUCGUUUUGUUUUUGUUUUAUUCCUUAUCAACAGGUGGAUUGCUAGCGUUUCCCUACACCGAAAUGUUGUUGAAAUUGCCACUGUUAACGAUUGAUGAUUAGGAAAUAAUUAUCUUCUUCAUUUUCUUUGUUUUUCUGUUAUGAUUUUGGGUUGGUGAAUUUUAUUUAUAAAAUAAUUGAUUUUGUGGUACGAAAAUCAGGUUGAAGAACAACAAUCGAGAUGAAAUCAAAUAGACGAAGAUAUGGUGGUCAAAGAAGAAGAGGAAAUUGAAAGAGCAGACAAUUGGCUUACUUCAGCUCCUGAUGCUGCUUUUAAAUGCCAACGUACAAACUCUAGAAGAACCCUGUGCUAAAAUUGCUAAUAUACAACAACUAAUCAUGUAGAAGGUCCAAACGACAGGUGGAGGGAUAAGCAAACGUAGCCUUUGUCUCAGUACUCGUCAAUGCCCAACCGCCACACCGUGUGAUCAUGUCUUCUGCUGGUGUUUAUGCCAACCCUCCAGAAAUGUCAUGCCAUUUGGCUUUCUACAACAUGCAGGUUCUGGACUAUAUGGGUGAUGUUAAACUGGAACGAGCUAAUUAAACUCUACAGGGGUGAAGCAAAGUUGAAAAGGCUGAAGAGUAAAACCGGAAGAAAAAGUCCCAUAUGAACAAUUAAAACCAGGACCAGUGAUAUCUUCAUACUUGAGCCAUUCUCCGCAAGUGGGUCUGUGCGGCUUGUACCUACGUUAGUGGGUUUAUGGUGCAUGACUUAGGAUCUUCAUACAUGAGCUGGAGUUUGAGUCAUUCUAUGCUAGUGGAUCUGCUAUGCGGUAUGGUGACUACUUCAUGCUUCACAACUUUAAGGUACAACAAUGGAAUCCUUCACCUGGAAGUGAAAUACAUGGAUCCUGACAAAAUUGGUGUGUUCAGAUCAGUUGGAUUUUACUGGGUGAAGUCUUUCCUUCAAGUUAGCGUAGCUUUUCUAUUUUUUUUAGCUUGUAAUAGGAAUAUGAAGUUAAUUAAUUCAAGUCUUAAUAUUUGGAAAAAGUAUUUUAGAUGAUUAAAAUUGUAAAUUGUUAGCACUUUUUAAUACGAAUUCAGUUUUAAUAUUAUUA